rnacentral:rRNA from 1 species
CAUGCAAGUCGAACGGAAAGUGCUCUUCGGAGUGACUCGAGUGGCGAACGGGUGAGUAACACGUGGGUGAUCUGCCCUGCACUUUGGGAUAAGCCUGGGAAACUGGGUCUAAUACCGGAUAGGACCAUGGCCUUCAUGGGUUGUGGUGGAAAGCUUUUGCGGUGUGGGAUGGGCCCGCGGCCUAUCAGCUUGUUGGUGGGGUAAUGGCCUACCAAGGCGACGACGGGUAGCCGGCCUGAGAGGGUGUCCGGCCACACUGGGACUGAGAUACGGCCCAGACUCCUACGGGAGGCAGCAGUGGGGAAUAUUGCACAAUGGGCGCAAGCCUGAUGCAGCGACGCCGCGUGAGGGAUGACGGCCUUCGGGUUGUAAACCUCUUUCAGUAGGGACGAAGCGUAAGUGACGGUACCUAUAGAAGAAGCACCGGCCAACUACGUGCCAGCAGCCGCGGUAAUACGUAGGGUGCGAGCGUUGUCCGGAAUUACUGGGCGUAAAGAGCACGUAGGUGGUUUGUCGCGUUGUUCGUGAAAACUCACA